rnacentral:rRNA from 1 species
CCCUAUUAUUUCAGCAAAAAAUACAGUUAGAGAGUAUGUGUUGAGGUCACAGAAAACCAUCCAGAAUGGCGGUCCCUUUUUCUCAGAGGAAUGUGUUUUGAAAGCGAAACUUCACGGAAAUCUUUCUUAAUCUUGAAAUACCAUCAUGUACCCCGCCGUCUGAAGGAUUUUUGUAAAAAAAAAACCUAUAACCUUGUGGUGGUUGUAAGUCAGGUUAGGAGCAGACUAUGGUUAAGAAAAAAUGCAUCCCAAUAAAAUGUGAGANAUAGGUUGAAACACCUUUCUCAAAAAGAAUUUGAAAGUAAACUUCUCUAAUUAUGAAAGGUUGAAAUUCAAAACAGGGAUGUACACAUCGCCCGUCGCUC